rnacentral:rRNA from 1 species
GAUGAACGCUGGCGGCGUGCCUAACACAUGCAAGUCGAACGGAGAUUACGGACGGAAGUUUUCGGAUGGAAGACUGUAAUUCUUAGUGGCGGACGGGUGAGUAACGCGUGGGCAACCUGCCCUAUACAGGGGGAUAGCAGCUGGAAACGGCUGGUAAGACCGCAUAAGUCGGUUAAAUCGCAUGAUUUGAUCGGGAAAUGAGCAAUCAGGUAUAGGAUGGGCCCGCGUCCGAUUAGCCAGUUGGCAGGGUAAAAGCCUACCAAAGCGACGAUCGGUAGCCGGACUGAGAGGUCGGACGGCCACAUUGGGACUGAGACACGGCCCAAACUCCUACGGGAGGCAGCAGUGGGGGAUAUUGCACAAUGGAGGAAACUCUGAUGCAGCGACGCCGCGUGAGUGAAGAAGUAUUUCGGUAUGUAAAGCUCUAUCAGCAGGGAAGAUGAUGACGGUACCUGACUAGGAAGCCCCGGCUAACUACGUG